rnacentral:lncRNA from 1 species
GGGACACCUGAUGCUGCUGCGCGCGGUUGAAGAACCAAAGGCUCUUCUGCUUCACUAGCACUGUGCGUUUGCGUUCCGGUAAUACGAAGUCGGAACGGAUAUCGAGACCUCAAAAUAAAUUGGAAAGGUGAAGUCGGUGAAACCAUAAAAGUGGCUCCCUAUGAUUUCGGUUCCGCUUGCUACAAUCUUGCGAAGCCGAAAGCUCCCUAAGCUAACCCAAACGAGCCCUAGCUAAGUUUUG